rnacentral:tRNA from 1 species
GGGGAUGUCGUCUAGCUUGGUCUAGGAUCCAGCCUUCGGGAGGCUGUGACUUGGGUUCAAAUCCCAACAUCCCCA